UAAGGAAUAUUGGUCAAUGGACGCAAGUCUGAACCAGCCAUGCCGCGUGAAGGAUGAAGGUCCUCUGGAUUGUAAACUUCUUUUAUCUGGGACGAAAACGGGAUUUUUAUCUCAAUUGACGGUACCAGAGGAAUAAGCACCGGCUAACUCCGUGCCAGCAGCCGCGGUAAUACGGAGGGUGCGAGCGUUAUCCGGAUUUACUGGGUUUCAAGGGUGCGUAGGUGGGCUUAUAAGUCAGUGGUGGAAUCUCCGAGCUUAACUUGGAAACUGCCGUUGAUACUAUAGGUCUUGAAUUAUCUGGAGGUAAGCGGAAUAUGUCAUGUAGCGGUGAAAUGCUUAGAUAUGACAUAGAACACCAAUUGCGAAGGCAGCUUACUACAUAUAAAUUGACGCUGAGGCACGAAAGCGUGGGGAUCAAACA
rnacentral:rRNA from 1 species